CAGUAGCCACGGGAAUACGAAGGGUGCAAGCGUUACUCGGAAUUACUGGGCGUAAAGCGUGCGUAGGUGGUGGUUUAAGUCCGUUGUGAAAGCCCUGGGCUCAACCUGGGAAUUGCAGUGAUACUGGAUCACUAGAGUGUGGUAGAGGAUAGUGGAAUUUCCGGUGUACCAGUGAAAUGCGUAGAGAUCGGAAGGAACAUCUGUGGCGAAGGCGACUAUCUGGGCCAACACUGACACUGAGGCACGAAAGCGUGGGGAGCAAACAGGAUUAGAUACCCCAGUAGUCCCUGUCUCUUAUACC
rnacentral:rRNA from 1 species